AACGAACCGCUGGCGGCAUGCCUAACACAUGCAAGUCGAACGAACCCUUCGGGGUUAGUGGCGCACGGGUGCGUAACGCGUGGGAACCUGCCUUUAGGUUCGGAAUAACAGUUAGAAAUGACUGCUAAUACCGGAUAAUGUCUUCGGACCAAAGAUUUAUUGCCUUUAGAUGGGCCCGCGUUGGAUUAGAUAGUUGGUGGGGUAAUGGCCUACCAAGUCGACGAUCCAUAGCUGGUCUGAGAGGAUGAUCAGCCACACUGGGACUGAGACACGGCCCAGACUCCUACGGGAGGCAGCAGUGGGGAAUAUUGGACAAUGGGCGAAAGCCUGAUCCAGCAAUGCCGCGUGAGUGAUGAAGGCCUUAGGGUUGUAAAGCUCUUUUACCAGGGAUGAUAAUGACAGUACCUGGAGAAUAAGNCCGGCUAA
rnacentral:rRNA from 1 species